rnacentral:rRNA from 1 species
UACGAAGGAUGCGAGCGUUACUCGGAAUUAUUGGGCGUAAAGAAUGCGUAGGCGGAUCUGCAAGUUGAUAGUGAAAUUCCAGGGCUUAACCUUGGCACUGCUGUCAAAACUACAGAUCUUGAAUGCGGUAGAGAGUAGGAGAAUUCUUGGUGUAGGGGUAAAAUCCGUAGAUAUCAGGAGGAAGACCGGAGGCGAAAGCGCUUACUUAGACCGUUAUUGACGCUGAGGCAUGAAAGCGUGGGGAGCAAACAGG